UCUCAUUACUAAAGUUUUAAGUGGAUGCUUAGGCUCAACAACACAUAUGGACGUAUAUAAUUGCGAAAAGUCACUUGAAGAGAAUCCUCAAAGACAAGUGAAUCUCCACUGUGGUAAACCACAAAAGUUUAUUUUACGAAGGGAACUGAAACAUCUAAGUACCUUUAGGAAAAGAAAUCAACCGAGAUUCCGUAAGUAUUGGCGAAAGAAAGCGGAAGAGACAUUGUAAACUUGUAAGCAAUCAGAACAAGGUGGAAUCCUUGACCAAAGAUGGUGAUAGUCCAGUAUUUUUGUCACUUGUUUAUAUUUAAAGUAAAACACAUCAAAGUGUUUGAAUGUAAGGAGGCCCACCUUCUUUGUCUAAAUAUACUGUUGAGACCGAUAGUGAACAAGUACCGUGAGGGAAAAGUGAAAAGAACCCUAGACAAGGGAGUGAAAAAGAUCCUGAAACUUGAAACGUACAAGCAGUUAAAGAACUUUUACAGUUUUUUAGCGUACCUUUUGCAUAAUGGGUCAGUGAGUAAAUGAAUUCAGCUUGCUUAAGCGGGGACGUGGAGGCGAAGCAAACGCGAGUAUUAAAAAUGCAUGUUGUUGGAUUCAUUUGACCCGAAACUAAGUGAUCUACCUAUGAACAGGUUGAAGAAAGCGUAAUUUCUUUUGGAGGACCGAACCGACGUCUGUAGCAAUAGGCGCGGAUGAUUUGUGGGUAGGGGUGAAAGGCCAAUCAAACUUAGAGAUAGCUGGUUCUUCGCGAAAUUUAUUGAGGUAAAGCGUUUGUUCAAAGUCAAAAGGGGUAGAGCACUCAUGAAGCUAUGGGGGUCCAAAGCCUUACUGAUCUUCUUGAAACUCCGAAUACUUUAUGACUCAAAGAAAAACAGUCAGACUUAAAGUGCUAAGGUUUUAAGUCAAAAGGGAAACAGCCCAGAAUGUUUGCUAAGGUCCUUAAACAAUAAGUAAGUGGAAAAAGAAGUUUUGUUCCAAAGACAACUAGGAAAUUGGCUUGGAAGCAGCCAUUUUAUAAUGAAAGCGUAAUAGCUCACUAGUCGAGGAAUAAAGCGCUGACAAUGUAUCGGGGCUCAACUUAUUUACCGAAGCAACAUAAACAUGGUAGCGAAGCGUUUUGUAAACCAAUGAAGAUAUUUUGCGAAAAAUAUUGGAGGAUUCAAAAGUGAGUAUACUGACAUGAGUAACGAAAAAUCAUGUGAAAAUCAUGAUCGCCGUAAGUUCAAGGGUUUCUGCGAUCUGGUGUUCAGCGCAGAGUGACUCGGCCUCUAAAUUUGCUGUGAAAACAGUCAAGUGAUGAAUUUCAUUAAACUGACAAAUCAAAACAAAAAAAGACACCAAAUUGGAUAGGUGCUUUUUAUGUGUGAUUUCAGGAAAAGGUUUAAUGUGUAAUGACCGUACCCAAAACCGACACUGGUGAACAAGUCGAAUAGACUCAGGCGUUGAGAUAACCAUGCUGAAGGAACUCGGCAAAAUAUUCCCGUACCUUAGGAAGAAGGGAAACCAAAAAAUUGGUGACACAAAAUUGAGGGUGACGACUUUUUACUAAAAAAUUAGGACUCUGCAAAAUGGUAACAUGAAGUAUAGGGUCUGACGUCUGCCCGGUGCUAGAAGCUUAAGAGGGGACUUGAAAGAGUUGAAUUGAAGGCCUAGUAAACGGCGGUUGUAACUAUAACAAUCAUAAAGUAGCGAAAUUCCUUGCCAGCUAAUUCCUGGCCUGCAUGAAAGACGUAACGAUUGCCCUACUGUCUCCAGCAUGGACUCAGUGAAAUUGAAUUUUCCGUGAAGAUGCGGAAAUCGUGCCCCAAGACGAGAAGACCCUAUGCAUCUUUACUGUACAUUUACAUUGAACAAAGAAAUCAAGUAUGUAGGAAAGGUGGGAGUCCAUACACCCUUGAAAUACCACCUUCUGGGUUUCUUCAUUCUCAUUUGAAUUCAAAAAAAGUGUAAAUGAGGCAGUUUGACUGGGGCGGUCGCCUCCUAAAGAGUAACGGAGGCGUGCGAA
rnacentral:rRNA from 1 species